rnacentral:rRNA from 1 species
UACAAAGGGUGCAAGCGUUGUUCGGAAUUAUUGGGCGUAAAGCGCGUGUAGGCGGCUCAGCAAGUCAGGUGUGAAAGCCCUCGGCUUAACCGAGGAAGUGCGCCUGAAACUAUUGAGCUUGAGUACCGGAAAAAAUGGCGGAAUUCCCGGUAUAAAAGUGAAAUUCGUAGAUAUCGAGAGGAACACCAGUGGCGAAGGCGGCCACCUGGACGGCUACUGACGCUGAGACGCGAAAGCGUGGGGAGCAAAC